UUGGAGGGCAAGUCUGGUGCCAGCAGCCGCGGUAAUUCCAGCUCCAAUAGCGUAUAUUAAAGUUGUUGCAGUUAAAAAGCUCGUAGUUGAAUUUCGGGGUUAGUAGGUUGGUCAUGCCUCUGGUAUGUACUGGUCUCACUGAUUCCUCCUUCCUUAUGAACCGUAAUGCCAUUAAUUUGGUGUUGCGGGAAUUUGGACUGUUACUUUGAAAAAAUUAGAGUGUUUAAAGCAAGCUAACGCUUGAAUACAUUAGCAUGGAAUAAUGAAAUAGGACG
rnacentral:rRNA from 1 species